GUCCUUGAGCUUAAUCGAGAUUUGCGCAAUUAUCGCGAGAUUUCAUUGACAGGCUUGUUACGGGUCGACGACAACAGCGCAUUGUUUUUUGCUUUAUUGAAACUGCGAAAGUUGGAUGCUUACUUAACUUAUACAUCAUUCAUAACCAUACAGAGAUGUCGGAGGAUUUAGUGAAGCAGCUCGGCAGCUACAAAGCUCAGCUACAGCAGGUUGAAGUUGCCUUGUCCACCGACCAAGAAAAUGAGGAUCUCCUCAAGCUACAGAAAGACUUGCAGGAAGUCAUUGACCUGACCAAGGACCUCUUGGCCUCGCAGCCUGCAGACGCCACCCCCAGUGUCAAUGGUGCCGCGCCGGCACCCAUCAGGCACAUCUGGAAAGUGGGAGACAAGUGUUUGUCCGUGUGGAGUCAGGAUGGACAGGUGUAUGAGGCCGAGAUCGAGGAGAUCGACCACGAGAACAGCACAGCCGCUGUCACCUUCACUGGCUACGGCAACGCUGAAAUCAUCCCCCUGCAGAACCUCAAAGCGGUGGAGGACCGCAGGCGUCUCGAAGACGACCUCGGCUUGUCCAGGAACAAAUCAAGAAAGGAGCAGAUCGCCGAGCAGCGAGAAUACAAAAAGAAGAAAGCCCAGAAAAAGGUGCUGAGGAUGAAGGAAUUAGAGCAGGAGAGAGAGGACCAAAAGUCCAAGUGGCAACAGUUCAACAAUAAAGCUUACUCAAAGAACAAGAAAGGACAGGUGAAGAGAAGCAUAUUUGCAUCUCCAGAAAGCGUCAACGGGAAAGUUGGGGUGGGCACGUGUGGCAUCGCAGACAAGCCCAUGACGCAGUACAACGACACGUCCAAAUACAACGUCAGGCAUUUAAUGCCACAGUGACCCGGCAUCUCCUGUAAAUACUCACCCCCCAUGUUGUAUACUGAAUAUUACAGUGUUGUUCAUUUUGUGUGACAUGAAUGAAUGAAAGAAAGUUGGAGUUACAUAUACGUGUCGGAAUUGAAGCCUUGAUGCUUUUUUUUUUUUUUAAUGUCGUACAGGUAGAAGAAAAGCUGUUCAAAUUAGACAGGAAGCCACCCUGCUUUGUAAUCGCGUCACUUGCUAUGUACCAACAGGAAGUUUGCUGCUUGUGCCCUAAUUCCACACACGGUGCUUUGGCUCAAGCUCAACACUUCUGAGAAUUGCUCCCAUCAAUGAGAACGCCAGCGAGUCAAGCCAGACUUCAAGUCAGUGAGCAUCUGAUGGCCUAACUAGGGUGUGAUGUGAUGCGCCUCGUCCCAAACAUCUAACGGGAGAAGUCGGUGCACUCCACGUCCACUUCGAUCUCCUCUGCAAACGCACACAAAACCACCGUGACCCACACAUGUCGAAGGAGGCCGCCUUUGCCGUCGGCAACAACCGCAGCCCAACCUCUGUCCGAUUCGUAGCGGUCCGAGUCGGUGGGGGAGCCUAGGCUGUCCGUGCGGACGCGGUCUCUUUCGCCGAGCGUCUGGAGCUGGGCCAGCUGCCUCUGCAAGUAUCUCUGCUCCCGCUCCAGGGUGUCCAGCUGGUGCUGACUCCUCCGGUCCGCCUCCUCUAGUUUCUACAAGGGGAAAAUCAGGAGAAGGUGUGAGUUUCCACCUAAAACCACAUCAGAACCGCAUUUCCCGGACUGCAGUCAUCUGUUGACCUCCGGAGGAGUCCCAGCGUGGUGUGCCGACUGCAGUCUGGUCCCAGAGGGAUGAGCGACUUCAACCUUUCCAAGCACAGACGGAGAUGCGCUCGUCUGCGGCGGGAGGAAACGCACAAGCGGGAAGUUAAUUUCUCCUUCACGGAUGCAGCUAAAUAAGCUACGGUGGCCUCAUCCCACAGCAGAGGGAGGAGGCUCUGAUUCAGGAAGGAGUCUUGUUGUCUGGAAACAGAUGCUUCACAUUUGCUGACUGGGGAAAUGUCUGCAAGUCCUCCAGGAACUGUGUCACUUGCUAAGCAAGGCAGCGUGAACACGUCGCUAAAGGCUACGCCUCAUUAAAGGAAGGAAGGCGUGCGGAACUUGUUCUUCUUCUUCUUCUUGCUCUGACAUUCCGGGGUCUCGUCUUUGGCGCUCAUGGAGAUUUCCAGAGAUUCCGAAGCGCUCACGCUCAGCUUGGAAACCUCCAGGGUCAGGUCCUCUUCCGGAUCGGACAAAUGGUCCUUCCCGUUGGGUAUCGUGUCUGUUGGAGGGGUGCAACGCAGUCAGGAAAAAAAAGAAGGGAGCUCUGAGCCAAGACUUGAACCCAGAACCACUUCGCCUGUGAGGCAGACGUGCUACCCACUCCUUCACUGUGCUCCUCAUGAAAAGCAAGCAGCCCGUGGUUCCUUAGGAUCAUCACCUGGAAAAUACAAGAAGAAUUCGUUCAACACAAAUGCAGUACUUCAAAAUAGACAUCAGGGUGUGUUAGGUACUUUGGUAUAAUUUUUGUACUAUUAUGAGAAAUAUCUGAAAUCAUUUUCUUCACUUCCUAUGACACCUUUAGUAUUUCCAUUUUGCAUUAGUAAGGACUGAAUGAAAAAUGAUGGCGCCAAGAGGUGGAAUUGUGGCUGGAGCUGUUUGGAAUAGAUGUCAUUAACUGGUGCAGGUGUACUUGGUGUGACUGGACUGGAAAGGUAAGGUAGCUGUUGAAAGCUGUGAAAAAGCCCCCUUCACUAAUGGACUCUUUCAACUUGACAGUACCUUGGCAGUCGGGCCCAGAGCUUUCUGAAACUCCACCUUCUCCUCUUUAUUAGCCAGGCUGCCAUGGUAACCGAAGCAGCUCACGUCUCCAAGGAGCAAGGCCUCCUGGGAAAUGGGCAGUAUUCCACACUUCAUGGAGGACACCUGUUGACAAAAAUAAAAGACAGAGACACGUUUGUGCCGUCGCAUAUAAAAAUGCCGCACGCUGUGACUUUUACAGCCUGGCUUUCAAGUUUACGGCAAAAACUGCGUUCAAGAGAAUCGCGGCGAGCCUUUAAAACGGCAGCUUAGCUCACGGCGGCCGUAGCGGGCGUGUGGAUGUGGAUGAUGCAUUUCAAGUCGGGGCGCAUGGCGUAGAUGGCGGCGUGAGGAGCGAAUCCAAAGUGGUCGAUGCCCAAGUCGGUCGAGCCCUGGUCCACUACGUCGCCGAUCAUGUUCACUUUCACCUGAAACCAAAAUGACAGAUUAUUAAAACACCGGAGGAAGCAAAACAAUUUCCCUUUAAUAAUAUUAUGAAGGCAGAAUUUAUAAUGCAGCUCUAGUCCAAAUUUCCUGUUACUUCACAUAGGUAACUAAUGAAAUGUCCGGUGAGAGCUCACCAGUAUGGCAAUAGCUUACCGAGUAUAAAAUAUUCAAUGAUUUAGUCAAAGCCCUAAAUAGAAACGAGAUUCACUCACCAACGUUGCUGCAGUGACCUCGGCAAAGGACAGACCUCUCGGACUGAUCAGAACAUGAUCCUGCUCUUUGUUGACACGCACCUGCGAUGAAAAGAAACACGGCUUCAAUUAAAACCACUGACCUUAUUCGGGUUAAGAUUAUGCGGCAAAGCGUUUGAAAUUCAGCAAGCGUUCAUUAUUUCUUAGGGGGGGGGGGGGGGGGGGGGUAUGAGCUCAGAAAUGUUAUUUGGGUAAUGUUGCUAUAUUUCUUUGCAUACUCAUGAGACAGGACCUUUUGUGAAUGAUGAAUAUGAUAAAAAAAAAAAAAAGCGUAUUAGUCAUGUAAUGUAUUGUCAUCGAUGGCCACACAUCAUCUUGU